ensembl:lncRNA
GUGUUUUUAGGCUCUCUUAUUCAUUAUCCAGCUCACUCUCUGGAGAGGACGACGAAUCCGGGAGCAUUUCUACCUCCAGAGACUAAAAUUCCCUACUGACACGGUGAAGAUCAUUUACAGAGUGUCCAGAUGAGAGCUCGUCUUGUAGAAGGAAAGGAUUUUUACUGCAACACACACACACACAUACACACACACACAUACACACAUACACACACACACACUUCUUACAAGUGGCUCAAGAAUACACGGUGGUGUGUAACACUUUCUUGCUGCACUGAAAGUCGUACAGGACUCAAAACAGCUGAAAUGCAAACUGAGACUUCAUCAGUGUUCUUUACUAAGGCUCCAUCCCAGACAGACUCUGCUCUAAUGAAACUUAUUUAGAACUGCAAGGGUCUUUGCUUCUUUUCUUUGUAGGGAAAAACUCUCUAUUUCUUAUCUUUUUCAUCAAUAAGUUGAAGUUGAACUUUUCAGACUUGCAGUGUUUAUUUGUCUUGUUAGCCAUACCGUGGUACAUCAGUAUAAUGCAUUUAUUACUUUUUCCCCUCUCUCAGACUCUCUGAUUGCCACAAAUGUACACAACAUGAUGUAAUGUCCUGCACUUGUAAGAUAAGAUCGGUGAAUCAUUAAAGCACAAAGAAGGCUUUAUAAACAUUAUAAGCAUGAAUGAAUGCUAAACUAUACUCUGUCUGUUUUGAUUCUGUUAAAAAUCAAUGCUAAUAAUACACAUCAUUCACUGUUUUUUUUCCUUGUUCAAAUUAUUUCAAAUGUAUUUUUUAUUUCCGUUUAAAACAAGUCUACACUAUAAUAUACUUAAUAUUUCUAAUAAAGC